rnacentral:rRNA from 1 species
UACGUAGGGUGCAAGCGUUGUCCGGAAUUAUUGGGCGUAAAGAGCUCGUAGGCGGUUUGUCGCGUCUGCUGUGAAAACCGGAGGCUCAACCUCCGGCCUGCAGUGGGUACGGGCAGACUAGAGUGCGGUAGGGGAGAUUGGAAUUCCUGGUGUAGCGGUGGAAUGCGCAGAUAUCAGGAGGAACACCGGUGGCGAAGGCGGGUCUCUGGGCCGAUACUGACGCUGAGGAGCGAAAGCGUGGGGAGCGAACAGG